GGCAGGGCUAGGGAACGCAUCUAGGUUCUCCUCCCACCCCUGCCGUGAGGUCUCAACUGGCUCAACUUGCUUCCCUGCACCUGGUCCCAUCCUUAGUGCAAGAGCACCCUCAGCAUUUCACAUCCAUUACUGACCUUGCUUCUCGAAAUAAAUACCUUCUGAGGUAGAAAGAAGAGCCCGCUGCAUCCCUGUCUAACUGAUGUUUCCAGAAAGAGGUAAGUGACUUGCCAAGGUCGCAGACUAGUGAUGGAGCCAGGAGAAGCCACUCUUCCAGCUGUGGUUCCAGGUCCUCGAAGGGAUACUCCGCGGUGCUAGCGUGCAGGGCUGGGACUACUCUGCUCUUCUCGCACUCACCUGCUUCCUUUCUUGCUGCUGUGUUCCGAAGCAGUUUACACACUGAGCACCUGCCACAGUGCCCCCCACCCCCAGUCAGAGGUAGUAAGCAGAACAGCACAGGGAGGGCAGAUGAAUCCCUGCACACCCGGCAAGUGAGAGUAAGAAGAUAAGCCGGCUUUUAUACCCCAUCUGUUUUUAUGUUUUCCUUGCCUUGUUCCAAAUAAGGUUAAAGGUGGCCGCAUUGCACCUUCCCAAUUCAGUACCCACCCCCUUCCUGAACUACACACUCCGCCCCCCUCACCCUCCCCCCCACACACACACACCCCAGGCACGAGGUACUUGACAGUUAUAAAAGCAUUUCCAUGACUAUUAACCUUAGAGCCUCCCCUUGGCCUUUAGAAGCUGCAGGACUGGGACAGACCAGCCCAUUUCGCUGAUAAGGGACCUGAAGGUUGACCCGCAUCUCCAAAUCCACACUGCAUGGACAUUCUCCACCUCUACCCUUUCCCAGCUGUCUCCCUUACAAAGUCCACACUCGAUCCUCUCUUUUGUCCAGCCUUCUUCAGAGGGGCAUCCCUUUAUCCCAAAGCAGUAGACCGGGAUACAGACAUGUCCUGGGAUUCCAUUUCCCCUCCAAAGCUGAGGGGCUGGCUCUGAGCCAGAUGCCCAGGGCUGUGUUGAGUUUGCCAGGUCCAGAUGGAGGAAUGGACCAUGUAAGAGUGGAAGCUGCCCUCCCUGCUACCCAGCAAGGAAGAAUGGCAAUACACAGUCCAGUGCAGUAGCCCAGGGUGAAGGGGGCAGCCUUCACUGGGGCCACCAUGUUCAAAUCUCUGCUCUGGCAUUUCCUAACUCCUUGAUUAUUUCACCUCAUUGUGCCUCAGUUUCCUCAUCUGUCAAAUGGGGAUAAUAAAAAUUCUUCCUAUUUGGUCGGGCUUGUUCUAGGGAAGGCAAUCAUACAUGCGUCAUAUGCCUGGUACACAGUAAGUCCUGGAGAAAUGUAGUUACCAUUUUUAGCUAUUGACUCUUUGUGGCAUUGACUAAGCUCAUUUUCUCCUCUACACCUCUGACCCCCACAUCACAAAAUGAGAAACCUGAAGAAAAUCACAGCUUUUUUUUUUUUCCAGCUGCAAAAUCAGCCGGUUCUCCCAAAUCUAAAGCAGACAAAAACUGCUUGAGGCAAAGGUGGGGGGCUCCCCGCUCUAACUUCAUCUGAAAGCUCCUUCACUGGACUCUAAGAUUCUGUAGAACUGAGGACCACAGGACUGGACCAUCUCCAUGGCCCCUUCGGCCCAGACAUUCUAGGGUUAAAGUAAUAGGUCUUCACGAGUCCCUGUUGAGCACGGAGCCCUACCCCAGUGUUGGCGUAUAGAGAAAAGGAAAGUCAGCCCCAGCAGUACCUGGUGCAAAAUAGAUGCUUGGCACAUGUUAGUUCCCUUUGUUCCCUUCCCCUCUCCCCUACCCAGAUGGGGAAACUGAGGCACAAGCGGCCACAUCAGAGAGCGAUGGCAAAACUUGGAGAAGCGUGGGGCUGUUGGAUACCCUGGCCCCCGGUGCCUUGCACCUGCCCACAGCACAGGCCCAGGGCCCCAUGGCCUUGCCAGGGCUGGCUCCCACCCUAGCCUUCGGUCAGCAGGGAAGGCCAGGAUGCUGUGCUAUGCCAGUGGCCAGCUGGUCACCUCCGGAGAGGCUAAGUGGCCUCCCAGCAGGGGACCACCACUCUGAGCCAAGGCUGGAUGUGAUCACAUGUCACCCCCACCCCCUCAGCCCCUCAACUCAUCCAUCAGAACCUGAGUGCCCCCAGUUCCCCACUGGCCUUGAUAGGCAUGGCCUCUGCCCGCACCUCCCCACUUUCAUGCACACAGCACAGACACGCGCAGUGAGGGAGAAGCAUGUGAACUGACUGGAGAUGGUGUAGGCCUAGAACCAAAGACAAGGAUUCAUUCGUCUUCCACUGGGUCAGCAAAUGUGUGUUGGGGACUUUUGCGACAGUUACCUUCCUUCCCUGGGUACAACUCAAAAGACUCUUAGCAUCUUUUCUUUACUUGUUUAGUCACCAAGACACUUUAAAAAAAAAAAAUCUUAGGAGAAAAUAGGUAACAGGCAAGUUACUAGGGGCUCAAGACCCACACUGUGGGCGCCCCCCCCAUACUCCCUAAAGGGUCUCCAAAGAGUGCCCAGAGCCCUAGACAGCUCAAUGUGAAGCCACUCCUGGAGUUCACCUCUUCCAACCUCCUCCCAUUCUGGACGGGGAGACUGGGGCCCACACGGGGCUUGCUGGAACCCGGGACCCUGGCUCUUCUCGCUGCAUCACCCGGCACACCCAGGAUUGUAUGGGGGAGGGGAGCUGCACCGAGCACAACUAGUCAGAAAAUAAAAGGGCUUUCUCAA